GAGUUUACAACUCCCAAACCCCUGUGAACAUACCGUGUUGCUUCGGCGGCCGCUCCGGCGUCCGCCGAGGGACCAAACCCUUACUUUACUUGAGAAUCUUCUGAGUAUACAAACAAAUAAAUCAAAACUUUCAACAACGGAUCUCUUGGUUCU
rnacentral:misc_RNA from 1 species